AAGUCUAAAACGACUCUCGGCAACGGAUAUCUCGGCUCUCGCAUCGAUGAAGAACGUAGCGAAAUGCGAUACUUGGUGUGAAUUGCAGAAUCCCGUGAACCAUCGAGUCUUUGAACGCAAGUUGCGCCCUAAGCCUUCUGGCCGAGGGCACGUCUGCCUGGGUGUCACAA
rnacentral:rRNA from 1 species